AGUGAACGCUGGCGGUAGGCCUAACACAUGCAAGUCGAACGGCAGCACAGAGGAGCUUGCUCCUUGGGUGGCGAGUGGCGGACGGGUGAGGAAUACAUCGGAAUCUACUCUGUCGUGGGGGAUAACGUAGGGAAACUUACGCUAAUACCGCAUACGACCUACGGGUGAAAGCAGGGGACCUUCGGGCCUUGCGCGAUUGAAUGAGCCGAUGUCGGAUUAGCUAGUUGGCGGGGUAAAGGCCCACCAAGGCGACGAUCCGUAGCUGGUCUGGAAGGAUGAUCAGCCACACUGGAACUGGGACACGGUCCAGACUCCUACGGGAGGCAGCAGUGGGGAAUAUUGGACAAUGGGCGCAAGCCUGAUCCAGCCAUACCGCGUGGGUGAAGAAGGCCGUCGGGUUGUAAAGCCCUUUUGUUGGGAAAGAAAUCCAGCUGGCUAAUACCCGGUUGGGAUGACGGUACCCAAAGAAUAAGCACCGGCUAACUUCGUGCCAGCCGCCGCGGUAA
rnacentral:rRNA from 1 species